CCUUCGAUAGCUCAGCUGGCAGAGCGGAGGACUGUAGGCUCUGCUGCACGGCCAUCCUUAGGUCGCUGGUUCAACUCCGGCUCGAAGGA
rfam:Merops nubicus contig63107, whole genome shotgun sequence.